UGUCUAAGAGUUGAAGGAUCCACAUCCAGGCUCACGACCAUGGAAGGAGGCAGAGGCUUUAAUUUCCUGCUUUUUUUGUAGGCCUCUUCAUGCAGCGGACUCCUCCUCCCAAAAUGAAUGACAGAGAGAGAGAGAGAGAGAGAGAGAGAGAGAGAAAAUAAGAUCCCACACAUCCUCUUAUGGUCUAGUCUUAGAGUCAGCAACCAUUAAUUCUGUUUCAUUUUAUUAGUUAGAAGGGAGUCUCUAAAUCCAGCCAACACUCAACACAAGGGCAUGGAUAUCAGGAGUCAUCUUGAAGGUGGAUUAUCACAAUACAUUUCAUCAGUUUUGGACCCUGGCCUCAUGAAGAGGACAAGAGCUGGUUCUGCUGUUAUUGAUGAAUACAAUCAAACACACAAUUCCCAAAUUACUAUGUCUUCUUUGCCUUGUGGAUGGGCUAAGAAUAUGAAGGUCAAGCUCAAGUGUUUCGAGAUAUUCUGAAAUUGUAAAGCACAAUGUAAAAGACAAGAAACUGUAUUUCUCCUGGUUCCUCAUUGAAUUACAUAGUGACUAAGAACUGCCAACUUGCUGACUAUAUAUAUUUUUAAGUCCAAAAGGCAAAAGGUAUAUUACAAAUAAAAAAAGUAAACCUAAUAAUGAGGCUGAAAAAAAUGUUUCCUGAGCACCUACAAAAUUCAUUAUGAGCCUAUCAUUUCCUUUUCAACGUUAGAUGUUUGUAUAUUGUCACCAAACUUUCAAGUGAAGGCUUUCAAAAUACAGGAGAAUAAAGGGUGGGGAAAUGGAAGUAUGUAUUGAAUAUGAUGAUGUACAACUAUAUACUUUUCACGAUAAGUUCAAUUUUUUUUACGUGAAAUGGCUGUAUUUUUUCUAAGCACAAAGUAAAGAAGAAUUGCAUAAUCAUGAUAUAUUUAAAACUAUCUUAAAAUGAAGAUUUUGGGAUAUAAAGUAUAUACAUUUAAAGUAUUAAUACAUCUUUUAAAUUAGUGGAGAUUAUAUUAAUGUCUUAUUCAGUACUUGUAUUAGAUGGCUAGCCAUUUGAAAAGUAAAAUGAAGCUGGAUUGAAAAAAUAAGUUGGGCUGAAUCAAAAUUUUAAAGAAAAAAGGCAACUACUAGAUAAUCAUUCAGAUUGUGGAAACAAAUACACAUAUUCCAAAAAGAGAGCCUUAUACUGAAAUAAAAUCAUCACGAAAAUUCUAGAAGAUAAACUAAAAAAUUUAGUACUGUGAAUAAAAGACAGAAAAUGCCAAUUUUUAUUAUGAAAGGAACAUCAAUAAAUCAUCAGUAAAAAGGAACACCCCAAAUAAAAUGAGAGCAAAAAAAAUGAACUACAAAACAAAUGAUUAAUUUCACUUAUAAUAAAGUUAAAAUAGAGUUUAAAAAGUACAUGUCUAUUUGUCUAUCCACUUAUCUAUAUUUCUUUAUAUCAGAAUAUAUGUUCACAUUCUACCAAAAAAUAUGAAACGGAGUUUUUUCUUCAUUUCAACAAUAGUGUUAAUUAUAUGUGUCUGUCUUAUAUUGUUGGCAGGGAGAAAGAAAGCCUCUAUCUUUUACUGUUGGUGGAAUGUGAACUGAGUUGCUACAUCAUUUUGGAGGAUGUUUUAUUAAUUGCUAAGCAUUAUAUGUUCUUUGCCACACUCUCAUCCUUAGAAAUUAAUAUCACAAACACAUUCACAUCAAUGGGACAAUAUAGGCUUCCAUAUAGAAGAGUUUAAAUUUAUUGCAUCAUGGUUUGUGCUUUUUCUCUUCAGUAGAUUAAUAAAUGAAGUAUGACCUACUCAUAUGACUGUAUCUUUUUGUGUCAACAACAAAAAACUGAAAA